UAUAAAUACAAAAUAUGUUCUGUCUCCCUUGCAAGCUGUUUUGUUGGCUCAAAAUAAUUUCUUCCGCUUCUGCUGGUUGUGACAGGGUUGUUGUUGGUUUUUUUUCCCCCUUUAUGAUUUGAUAAAAAAUAUGGAGUGAAAAUAAUAGGGAAGAGUGAUGACAAAAGUAGUCGAGGAAUCAAUCAAAAGAUGGUUCCAAAAAAAAAAAA